AUUUGAACGCUUGGCGGCAGGCCUAACACAUGCAAGUCGAGCGGUAGCACAGAGAGCUUUGCUCUCGGGUUGACGAGCGGCGGACGGGUGAGUAAUGUCUGGGAAACUGCCUGAUGGAGGGGGAAUAACUACUGGAAACGGUAGCUAAUACCGCAUAACGUCGCAAGACCAAAGUGGGGGACCUUCGGGCCUCAUGCCAUCAGAUGUGCCCAGAUGGGAUUAGCUAGUAGGUGGGGUAACGGCUCACCUAGGCGACGAUCCCUAGCUGGUCUGAGAGGAUGACCAGCCACACUGGAACUGAGACACGGUCCAGACUCCUACGGGAGGCAGCAGUGGGGAAUAUUGCACAAUGGGCGCAAGCCUGAUGCAGCCAUGCCGCGUGUGUGAAGAAGGCCUUCGGGUUGUAAACACUUUCAGCGGGGAGGAAGGCGGUGAGGUUAAUAACCUCAUCGAUUGACGUUACCCGCAGAAGAAACACCGGCUAACUCCGUGCCAGCAGCCGCGGUAAUACGGAGGGUGCAAGCGUUAAUCGGAAUUACUGGGCGUAAAGCGCACGCAGGCGGUCUGUCAAGUCGGAUGUGAAAUCCCCGGGCUUAACCUGGGAACUGCAUUCGAAACUGGCAGGCUAGAGUCUUGUAGAGGGGGGUAGAAUUCCAGGUGUAGCGGUGAAAUGCGUAGAGAUCUGGAGGAAUACCGGUGGCGAAGGCGGCCCCCUGGACAAAGACUGACGCUCAGGUGCGAAAGCGUGGGGAGCAAACAGGAUUAGAUACCCUGGUAGUCCACGCCGUAAACGAUGUCGAUUUGGAGGUUGUGCCCUUGAGGCGUGGCUUCCGGAGCUAACGCGUUAAAUCGACCGCCUGGGGAGUACGGCCGCAAGGUUAAAACUCAAAUGAAUUGACGGGGGCCCGCACAAGCGGUGGAGCAUGUGGUUUAAUUCGAUGCAACGCGAAGAACCUUACCUGGUCUUGACAUCCACAGAACUUUCCAGAGAUGGAUUGGUGCCUUCGGGAACUGUGAGACAGGUGCUGCAUGGCUGUCGUCAGCUCGUGUUGUGAAAUGUUGGGUUAAGUCCCGCAACGAGCGCAACCCUUAUCCUUUGUUGCCAGCGGUUAGGCCGGGAACUCAAAGGAGACUGCCAGUGAUAAACUGGAGGAAGGUGGGGAUGACGUCAAGUCAUCAUGGCCCUUACGACCAGGGCUACACACGUGCUACAAUGGCAUAUACAAAGAGAAGCGACCUCGCGAGAGCAAGCGGACCUCAUAAAGUAUGUCGUAGUCCGGAUUGGAGUCUGCAACUCGACUACACGAAGCUGGAAUCGCUAGUAAUCGCGGAUCAGAAAUGCCGCGGUGAAAUACGUUCCCGGGUCU
rnacentral:rRNA from 1 species